UUCCUGGGGGUUAUACAGAGAACCAUGGCUAGGGUCACGUCGCCUGCCCUCCCGACCACGGCCAGCAGAGGGAGACAACGACCGGCCACCUGGACCCUAGUCCCGGGAAAUCGGCGUGGCCUGAAGGGAGCCUCUAACACCCUCAGCUUCCGGUGGGGAGGCGGAGCCCUUCCGUCGCUCCUUAAUUGUUUUCUGUCAUGUCUGACUCUGUGACCCCAUCUGUAGUUUUCCUGGCAGGGAUACUAGAGUGGUUGGCCAUUUCCUUCUCCAGCUCAUUUUACAGAUGAAGAAACUGAGGCCAACAGGGUAAAAUGGCUUACCCAGGGUCACACAGCCAAGAUACUAGAGUGGUUGGCCAUUUCCUUCUCCUGCCCCCCCCCCCCUUCCUGGAAGUUCCCCAUGCUAAAAAACCCAUCAGAUUUAGCACUUGAAGGGACUAACUACCAUCUAGGCCAAACUCCUCAUUUUACAGGCAAAGGGAGUCACUGAAAGAUUUUGUGAGCAGAGGAGCAAAGUAACCAGGUCUAUCUCAGUCACCAGGUGAGCAGGAAGAAGGCAGAGUCUUCCAACUACGGAAGAGUGAAGUUGGCUUCUUAGAACCGGUCAUUCGAGAGAUGGCUGGAGAACAUCUGGGAAGAGGAGGAGGGAGCGCAAAGAGCCCGCGGGCCUCCCUCUGAAUUUCCUCUGUGUUGCUGAAUUAGGCCAUGGAAGAAAAGGCUGGCCCAGAUUUCAGCAGAGCCUUUGAUCAGGUACCACCCAGUCCUCUUCUGAAGAGGUGGACUAUCUGAUAACACUUUUAGAAGGGCUCGGAAAUAGCUGAAUGACCAGGUUCAAAGAGCAGGCAUCACCAUCCCAUGUCCCCUUGACAAGAGGUCUCCAGUGGAGUGCCCCAGGGAUCGGAGCUCAGCCCUGGGUUAUUGAACAUUUUUACUCUUAACUCGUCAGAGGGAGAUAUUCUGCUUAAAACACUGGCCAUUGGAAAGAGUCCUCCCAAAGGAGGGAGGAAGAGGAAGAGUCCUCCCAAAGGAAGAAGAGGCAGGAUCCUAAAGCAUUUUAGAGACGGGGGGCAGAGGUGUCAGACAUACGACCCACAACACUCCUGAGUGUGUCCUCAACAAGAUUAAGAGUCAUUUAUGGGGGGCAGCUAGGUGGCUCAGUGGAUGGAGAGCCAGGCCUGGGGAUGGAAGGUCCUGGGUUCAAAUCUGGCCUCAGACACCUCCUAGCUGUGUGACCCUGGGUAAGUCACUUAAGCCCUUACCACUCUUCUACCUUGUAAUCAAUAGGUAGUAUUGGUUCUAAGACAGAAGGUAAAGGUUCUAUAAAACAAAAUGUAAUUUAUGGGAAACAUUUAACAAAAUAAAGAUGCAACAUCAUCUAGAUACUAAAUUUUAAAAUGAAGUCAGUAGGGAAUUAUGUAUGGUUUGCUCAUGUUGUUAUUGGUUGUUUUUUAGUCACGGCUGACUAUUUGGGAUUUUCUUGGCAGACUAGAGUGGUUUGCCACUUCUUUCUUCAGCUCAUUUUUCAGAUGAGGAAACCGAGGCAAAGAGGGCCUGUUUAACCCGGAGGAGAGCUGUCUUCAAGUACAUGGAGAAGGGAGCAGACUUGUUCCGCUUGGCCCCAGUGGGCUGAACUAGAUGCAAAUGGCAGGGAGAGGGCAGUGCUUUCAGCUCCAGGUAAGGACCAACUUCUUAACAUCAGAGCGGUCCAAAAGCAGCGGGAUGGGGGUGGUUUUCCUCACCGGUGGCCUUCGAGGCAAGGCCUGAAUGGCCAUUCUGUUGGGUAGACUGGACAGGAGACGGUUUCUCAAGAAGGAAGUGGACUACGUUCCUCUGAGGUUCCUAUGAGAUCUAAGAUCCUGUCGCUCUACCAAGGGGGACUAGAUCCCCAGGCUCGGGGCAGCCAGGGUGCCAGUUCCUGAUGGAGCGUGGACACCGACCUGUUUUUGGUGGUGGGCAUCUCUGGGGAACUCUGAUUGGAGGAAUUCUCUGACUUGGGGCUCCUGGGAGACAUGUCCACUG